rnacentral:rRNA from 1 species
UACGAAGGGGGCUAGGCGUUGCUCGGAAUCACUGGGCGUAAAGCGCACGUAGGCGGAUUGUUAAGUCAGGGGUGAAAUCCUGGAGCUCAACUCCAGAACUGCCUUUGAUACUGGCGAUCUCGAGUCCGGGAGAGGUGAGUGGAACUGCGAGUGUAGAGGUGAAAUUCGUAGAUAUUCGCAAGAACACCAGUGGCGAAGGCGGCUCACUGGCCCGGUACUGACGCUGAGGUGCGAAAGCGUGGGUAGCAAACAGG